rnacentral:rRNA from 1 species
GAUGAACGCUGGCGGCGUGCCUAAUACAUGCAAGUCGAGCGAACAGACGAGGAGCUUGCUCCUCUGACGUUAGCGGCGGACGGGUGAGUAACACGUGGAUAACCUACCUAUAAGACUGGGAUAACUUCGGGAAACCGGAGAUAAUACCGGAUAAUAUAUUGAACCGCAUGGUUCAAUAGUGAAAGACGGUUUUGCUGUCACUUAUAGAUGGAUCCGCGCCGCAUUAGCUAGUUGGUAAGGUAACGGCUUACCAAGGCAACGAUGCGUAGCCGACCUGAGGGGGUGAUCGGCCACACUGGAACUGAGACACGGUCCAGACUCCUACGGGAGGCAGCAGUAGGGAAUCUUCCGCAAUGGGCGAAAGCCUGACGGAGCAACGCCGCGUGAGUGAUGAAGGUCUUCGGAUCGUAAAACUCUGUUAUUAGGGAAGAACAAAUGUGUAAGUAACUAUGCACGUCUUGACGGUACCUAAUCAGAAAGCCACGGCUAACUACGUG